rnacentral:lncRNA from 1 species
CUAUAUCCUAAAUGAAAACCAGUUUCUACUUAUCACUAUAUGUGAAAGAUGUAAAUCUCACAUUUGUCUCAUGCUUCAAACUUUUCUGAUUUUUCUACAUUUAAACUACAUGGAUAAAUCAUCUUACAUCAAGAUUGGUGAUUAGCACCAAUGUGCAGGCUAAUUAGCACAAACAUAUACGUUAACUUCAGUCCACUUUAUUCAAUCAUAUACAAAUCAAAUUUAAACUACACUAAACCAUUGCGUCUACAUUACUUAGUCAUCAACAUAUAACAGUCCAAACAGGUAGAGUUCCAUUAGUGCAAGGUAAACGUUUCUCCUUUGAAUUUCCACUUCAAAUUCAGUAUCUGUAUAUCAGGAGAGAAACAAAUCCCUAGAUUUGAACAAUACAAGAAGAAGGAAAAAGGAGUAAUCAACAGCAGUAACACGAUAGCACCAACAACAGUAAUAUAAAAGCAGCAACAACUAAAUCAAACUCAAGAAAACCCAGAAAAGUUGUAAACCAAACAGCGAACAACAAAUAACCAACAAUAGUCAACCAAAACAGGAAUAGUUUGGACCAAAACAACUUCACAGACAAACCCAGGCAACCUCAACAGAAACACAAUGCAACCAGACCAGAACACUCAAAUGCAAAAUAGCUCCAAUAAGCUCUCUUAGACUGAUUCCAGAACCUCUUCAAAGACUGACCAAAACUCUCAAGUUUUUAACUCUCAAAACUCUUACUCCCCAUUCAAGUCCCUCUUAAUGUUAUAAGCUCUCUUAGACUGAUUCCAGACCCUCUUCAAACACUGACCAAAACUCUCAAGUUUUUAACUCUCAAAACUCUUACUCCCCAUUCAAGUCCCUCUUAAUGUCUCUCCUCAAUGUCUAUACUCUUUUAUUAGUUCUAUGUGUUUUUUGACUCUCCCCUCUUACUGUCAGUUCAAGUCCUUCUUUAUGUCUCCGCUCAUCUCUAUAUUUAAACCCAAAACCCUUUUCCAUUUUCAACCCUCCUUUUUUCUUUUACAGUUGUAAAAGGAAAAACUUUUAUUAUUACCCCUUCUGCUUUUACUUUCCAGCUUUUAUAUUCCCUCUCCAUGUGCACCUUUUAGGUUUUUCAUUAUUAUUCCCCCUCUUUUUACUUUUCCACUCCUUUUUCCUUUAUUUACAUCAUUAUGUCUUGUUCUCCACCAUUCUUAACCAAAUGUAUUGUUUUAAAGGUCCACUAGUACUUACUGGACAUACCACUUAAACUAGCCAUUUUCAAUCCUUUUAAAUCCCAAAAUACCCCUGAAACUUCUGAAUUUACUAUCCUACCCCAAUCCCCUUUCAAUAACUAAUUACUUAUUCAAAACCAGUCAACAAUUCAAGCUAGAAACUCAGAUCAAAUCAAAUAUCAUCAAAAUAAGAAUAAUGAUUCCGAACAAAAUCCUAUUGAACUACUAAACGAACUGGACAAAGUGCAACUUCAGUUUUGGAAACAAAUGCCUCCUAAUCAUUUGAAACUCAAUAUUGGAUUGCUAAUUGAGAAUCAAACAUAAUACAAAUUCAACAAUUUAAAUCAAUAAUACAUAUUUAUUAUAGAACUGAGAAAGUGAAACACAUUACUUAAACAAAACAUAUCCAAAAAAAGGAAUAAGGGACUUACGCACUCUUUGAAAAUUCUCUUAUAAAUCAAGACAUGGACAGAAAACAGGAAUAAUGAACCCGAAACCAGAACCACGACCGUUGACACCGAACAGAACAAAAUAUGUCCAGAAAACCUCAUGAGCCCUAAGCGGACUGCCUCGCUAACCCCCGUUACUCAGAUUGGAGCAUAUGUUUCUCCGUCAAUCUCUCACUUUGUUCAUUUUUUACCUCUAUUCUCUUUUGAUGACAACCGAAUGACGUCAAAGCGGUAGGGUCCGUUUGGAGAAGAAGAAGCAGUAACGGGUGGGGGUGGUCGUUUGUGAAGUCGACAUUGCUAGAGUGAGGGCUGUUUGGGCGUGGGUGGUGAAGUUGAUGGGCAGCUAGGCGACGAGCUGGUCGUCGGUUGUUAGGUGGUGGACGAUGGCGGCUGGUCGGGCGUGUGGCAGUGGAGCUGAAGAAGCAGUGGCUUGGAGAUGUUGAUGCUCGCUGCUGCUCGACGGAAAAGGGUGGUCGAUUGGUUGAGGUCGUUUAUGGCUAGUGCUGGGCGACGAACGGGCAGGUUCAGACGAUGGCUGUGCGAUGAGAGGCGUGGUUGGGCUGCUGGUUGGUUCAAGAGCACAAGGAAGAUGAGAUGUAGGUCUCGAGGGUGGCAGCUUGGGGUGCUAAAAGUUAUUAGAGGAUUAGGUUUUUUUGUGUGUGUUAGGAAUUGGAGAAUGAAAUGAAAAUCAAGAAAGGGG